rnacentral:rRNA from 1 species
CAACGUGAGCAACCUGCCUUUCAGAGGGGGAUAACAGUUGGAAACGACUGCUAAUACCGCAUAACGCUGCGAUGGGGCAUCCCGAUGCAGCCAAAGGAGCAAUCCGCUGAAAGAUGGGCUCGCGGCCGAUUAGCUAGUUGGUGGGGCAACGGCCCACCAAGGCGACGAUCGGUAGCCGGACUGAGAGGUUGAUCGGCCACAUUGGGACUGAGACACGGCCCAGACUCCUACGGGAGGCAGCAG